GUGGCCAGUGAUGAGGACUUCUCCCACUCGUGUUCGAGUUCCCCAACCAUGAGAUGACUCCACAUGCACUCCCAUCUGAGGCCGC
rnacentral:snoRNA from 1 species